GCUAAACAUUAGACAGUCGAGACAGCAGCACAGAGAGCCCACACUCAUCCAAGACUGUUUUCCUGUUUUACUGGCAGUGUUGCUGUCCAAUAAAAUCAGUGGCACCUGGAUGUAAGUUAUGUCAUUGUACACGUGUAACACUUUCAAGGCCUGAAUGUUGCAUCAGUGUUUGUGAACAGGAGCUCUCUCUCUCAAAGCCAGAAACCAGAGAAGUUUACUCUGGGUGCCCUGGUUUCCUCUCAUACUCCAAACACAUGCAGCCAGCUGAAGUUUGGAGACUACAUAAGACAGGCCGACUCUACCACUGUACCUUUGUGAAGACGUGUACGUGGACAAUGAGGGUUGUUGUUGGUUUGCUGUUGUUGCUGCUGGCUCUGUGUGGGUCAGGGGCUCAGGGG